UUGUGACCUAUUACAAUCAGCUGCAUGAGGUGGAAGAGAAAAUGCCCUGCAAGCACUUUGAUCUCAACGUCACUUUUGAAGGAUCCAGCGAAAAGCCUCCAGCAGAUGUAGAAAAGUCAGACAAGAUCAAGUAGUUGUUGUUGUUAUACGUGUACACGACUGUGCAAAAUGUUAGAUCGGCAGCAGUAUCGACUACCUUAUUACAAAUUGCAGGGCACAGUUUCACAGCUUUGGGUAGUUCAAAAUAUCUUGUGCCAGUUCCUCUGUGGACUGACACUCUGUACAUUAUCUGAUAGGUACUUUAUUCAUUCCCUUAGGGAGAUUCAAGGUAUGCAUGAGCUCACGUGUUACAUAGAAGAUAGAGGGCCACUGUGCCAAUGAGCAUGCAACAGACAUCCCAAAUCUGCCUAAAAUGCUGGUAUUUACAGAGGUGAGCUUAAAAAACUGUUAAUAUUUACAAUAAAGUGCAAAUCGGUGUUAUUUGCAAUAAAAAUAGAGCAUGAUAAGAGUUCAUAAUACAAUAAAUAUAGCAUUUGAAGUACAAACGAUGUCAGAGCUCUGUGGAAGAACAUCUGUUGGUCUGCAGAUGCAGGUACAUCUGUUAGUCUGCUGCUGCGGGUAGUUCUUCAUGGAUUCUUGGUGUGCCUCAGUAAAGACCGAUUCCUCUGGUUUUUCUUUCAGACUCAUUUUAAAAUGCUGCUGCUCACAUGCUCAAAGACUUUAAUCUGAUCAGUGACUGAUUGUACGUUAUGCCUUUACAUGAACAAUGUGACAGCAGCUGAUUAUAGUCGUAUAGUCAUCGUGCCCUUUGUCAGUGCUGUUCUUUUUCUCAUUCACAGCAGGGCUCUAGGACCCGGAGACGUCAGGAUGGUGGUUCUUGAUAUCAGUCUACCAACUGGAUUCACCCCAGAAAACUCUGACCUGGAGAUGCUGUCCAAUUCAGUGCAUCGUUACAUCAGUAACUUCCAGAUUGUAGACAACCUGAGUGACAGAGGCUCCCUGAUCAUUCACCUGUUCAAAGUAACAUCACUGUAUUUAUAAUUAUUAUUCUAUAUCAUAUCAUUUUAUGUUAUUCAUAUGCUUUUCUUUUUUUUCCCAAGAAGCAGGUUUCUCAAUGCUCAGUAAAUAAGUCAUUAUGACCACAGUCAACAAUCUGAGUCAGUUUUAGGCUAUUACACAAAACCGGCUUAUUGGUACCAAAGCCACGGUUCAGAACUCAGACUUGCUAAAUCGGUGUUGGUGUCGUGCAGUGUAGGGCUGCAGCCGGAGUACUGACGAUAGUUAGCAAGAGAGAUCAUAUUUCUCCUAUGCUGGUUUCUCUUCAUUGGCUUCCUGUGAAAUGUAGAAUAGAAUUCAAAAUCCUUCUUCUGACAUAUAAAGCUCUAACAACCAAUCUCCAUCAUAUCUUAAAGACCUGAUGGUACCAUAUUAUCCUAGCAGAACUCUUCGCUCUCAGACUGCAGGCUUACUUGGAGAAGCGACCUGUAACUUCUAUCUAAAAGUAGAAUGGGAGGCAGAGCCUUCAGUUAUCAGCUCCUCUCCUGUGGAACCAGCUCCCAGUUUGGGUUCCGGAGGCGGACACCCUCUCUAAUUUUAAGACCAGGCUUAAAACCUUCCUUUUUGACAAAUCUUAUAGUUAGGACUGACUGGGGGACCCCGAGGGGGUCAGCUGGAGUCUUCCUCUUGGACGUCCCUUAGUUCUGCCCCUAGUUCUGCUGCUACAGGCCUAGGCUGCUGGAGGACCUCUCUGGAUGCACUGAGCCCUU